rnacentral:misc_RNA from 1 species
GAUGAAGAACGCAGCGAAAUGCGAUACGUAAUGUGAAUUGCAGAAUUCAGUGAAUCAUCGAAUCUUUGAACGCAUAUUGCGCUCUCUGGUAUUCCGGAGAGCAUGCUUGUUUGAGUAUCAGUAAACACCUCAACUCCCUUUUCUUUUUUGAAAUGGGAGCUGGACUUGAGUGAUCCCAACACUUUUCUCACUGGAAAGUGGCGGGUCACUUGAAAUGCAGGUGCAGCUGGACUUUUCUCUGAGAUAUAAGCAUAUCUAUUUAGUCUGCCUAAAAAACAGAUUAUUACCUUUGCUGCAGCUAACAUAAAGGAGAUGAGUUCUUGUGCUGACUGAUGCAGGAUUCACAGAGACAGCUUUGCGGCUGACUUUGUAAACUCGAUCUCAAAUCAAGUAAGACUACCCGCUGAACUUAAGCAUAUCAAUAAGCGGAGGA